rnacentral:lncRNA from 1 species
AAAACUGGAUGUCGCCUGAUCUUUUGGAGGGGAGGAGAAAACAACUGGAUCAGUUACAAGUCUGAUCAACUACUGAGUCCGCUCCCAUGUGCCGAGACCGGGAAAAUCUCUCUUUUGGGGGGGAACUCUCGUAGCCUAAUGGAGGUAGGCCGAGACCAGGACGCCGGAUAACGAACUCUGGAAGCGGCAAGCUCCCAAAGAGCAACAGCUUUCGUGCAGAGAUGGGUCUUGG